AUUGAACGCUGGCGGCAGGCUUAACACAUGCAAGUCGAGCGAGCGGCGGACGGGUGAGUAAUGUCUGGAAAACUGCCUGAUGGAGGGGGAUAACUACUGGAAACGGUAGCUAAUACCGCAUACCAUCAGAUGUGCCCAGAUGGGAUUAGCUAGUAGGUGGGGUAAUGGCUCACCUAGGCGACGUUCCCUAGCUGGUCUGAGAGGAUGACCAGCCACCCUGGAACUGAGACACGGACCAGACGCCUACGGGAGGCAGCAGUGAGGAAUAUUGCAGAAUGGGCGAAAGCCUGAUGCAGCCGGGCCGCGUGUGUGAAAAAGGCCUGCGAGUUUUAAAGCACUUUGAGCGAGGAGGCGUUACUCGCAGAAGAAGCACCGGCUAACUCCGUGCCAGCAGCCGCGGUAAUAC
rnacentral:rRNA from 1 species